CGCAUUCAUGUAUGAAAAUUAGUGCGUAAUUAAAACUUUUCACACAAAAUAUCUUAAAACAUCUUUCAUAUUAAAAUUAUGGAAAAACUAAGUCUGAACAUAUGCCAAUCUUAGACUCGAGAAUACAUGGGACACGACCCAUACAAUAUUAAUAUAGAAAUACAUAGUCUAUUACAAUACUUUGAAUUAAAAGUCAUCAAAAGGUGGUUAUGCCCUCGAGUCGAGUGAGGACAUACUUCUACUUUGCUGGAAUGAUAACUAGAUUCCAAGCUUUCCUUCAAGACGCUUCUAACUUUCCACAUACACCUUGAAAUAUAACCAAAUUUAUGAAAUUAUUAAAAAAACUUCUAUUAAGUAUGGAUUAAAGCAUAAAAUCAGGAGAACCAUACAUUUAUUAACAACAUGCCCUUUUGUAUUAAAAUAUCAUAUUAAUAUUAUAAGAACCACAUUUAAGAACCAAAUAUCAAAAAUAUCAGCAAGCAUACAUCAAAAUAUAUAGACAUGAUAUCCUCCUAACAAAGGUUAUUCUAAGUCUCACUUAAGUGUGUUAUGAAGCGACCACACAUAAAAUCCCUUCACAGACACCUACGAGAUCCUUUAGACUGCCUAAGAUAAGAUCAUUCUCACUUGACAUAAUAGCUUAUGCAUAUCGAAAAUUCUCUUUUCAAAGGUUAUCAAAAGACUUACUUAUGUAAAUAAUCCUUAAAACUACCUACGUUCAAAUAGUGUCUACUUUUAUAUAAUUUCCCUAUUUAGAGACAUUCUUAAGACUUCCCUAGAUAAGACGUAAGUGACCAUUCCUAUGCCCACUUCAUAUCUUAAAUAAGCAACCCUUAAACUAUUCUUAGUACUUAGUCAUUAAUCUACUUUCCAACUUAAGUCAUCAUCUUUAUCAGUUCAGUAUGAGACAUUCAUCACAUAAGGACAUUCUGGUUAUGGUCUUGGAAGACCUAGGUCCCUCACACACUAAUAUCUUCAAAGCCUAAUCAUUCAAUGUCUAGUUAGCGUCUCAUUCCACUACCUAAAAUCCAUAGUACUUACUCGACACUAGAAUGUAUCCCACAUGCUGAGAAUAGGUAAUAACAAAAAUAGACCAUGGUAGCUAAGCAUGGAAUCCGAAUUCAAGCCUACUCCGAUAAAGGGUGUCCUACUUUCCAAUGGUAGAACUCUGACACCUCCCAUUUAGGCACAUGAUUAGGAAUAUGAAGGGUUUCUUUGUUCUCUAUUCUCAAGAUUCAAAUAGAGCAGCUCUCAAUCCAUAUUCACUUGGUGCUAGCCUUUGUUCUCAUAGAAUAUUUUAAUAAAAGAGAACAUUGAGAGGCUCCAUAUCUACUUUAUAACACAAGCACAUUACACCCUACCAAAGAAUUCACCUAGUGUUUCCUUAGAAUGAUUAUAUCCACCAUUCACACGAGAAUGAUAUAUGACUUUCAACAUCAAUAUUAUCAUAACCUUCCAAUUAGGUUGAAGGUUCCACAUAAAGGACUUUCUUAACAAUGUUCAAGGUGAUAUGUCGAUAACACAUACAAGAAGAAGAAGGUCUAGCAUACUAACUCAACAACUCAUAUUCACUAUGUACAUGUAUCAAGUAAAGGACAUGAGCCUACAAAAAUAAGAGAAACACGUACUGCUCAUAUAACACAUUAUUCUAGAAGUACAUAUGGUAAACUAAGUAUACUUACUAGUCAUCGAACACACUUCAAUAGAAUCAUCACAUAAGUUGUCACAUGUAUAACAUAUUCUAUAAAGAAACAUCAUAAUUAAACAUCAAGUAAUCCUUAUAAUGACUAUAACAUUGUCUACUAGGCACAGACAUCAUUAACUAGAUGCACUCAUGCUUCGAAUCCACAUAAACACAUAAGUCAUCUUGACGUUCAUAAUAUAAACCUAAUAAAAUUAUAAUAUGAUAAAGCCAUAAUACAUAAAGUUAUGCCGACGAGGCCACAUCAUUCACAAUUCAUAAAGUAAUGUCCACAAGGAGACAUUAGUCAUAAGUAUAGCACAUAAGUACCAACACCAUAACUGGACCAUACCGAGCAUUAUCAUCAUCUAAGAAAUAGACUACACAAUAUAGAGAAACUUUGUUCAACAUAGCAUUAAUACAUAAUAAAUUUACCCAUAAAGUAGUAAAAUCUAGAAUAUCAUGGUUUGCAUGGGUUCAUAGAGUUUUUAGAUUAAGAUCAUCAAAUUAACAUCAAUUUAAUCAUAUUACAAAGUUCUAAAACAAUUAAUGCAAGAACCCAUGGAUAGAUUUUGAAAUUGUACAAUUAAUGUUGUUGAUCAUCUAUGAAAAUCAUUGGAAUUGACUCCUUGAAGAAAGAGAUUUUAAUGAUAAAGAACUAUAUAUUGAUCCCAGAAAAUUGGUGGAGAAAACAUGAUAAAAUCAGUCUUCUUUCUUGGAGCAUCAAACAUUCAUCGAUGGAGGUUUUUGGAGAGAAGAAUGGAGAAAUUUAGUUUUGAGUUGAGGGUUUAGCUUUGAUUGGUGAGUUUAGGGGUAUAAAAUGACUCAAUAACCAUCAAUAAAUUAUCCCAUACUUACCCAAAAUAACCCUUCACUUAUUAAACAACUUAACCAACUCAAAUUCGACUUAAAAACAACGAAACCAAAUUUGGGAGUUUAAUGCGCGUCGCGGUGGUAAUUCCAAAUCUUGGAUCUAGAAAAUUAUGAGACAGAAUGGUUCAUGUAAUCCCCACAUCAGAGGGAAAUAAUUUCACUCACUCAGUAGCAGCUGCAAGACGCGCAACCACUGCCAAAUCUUUGCUUGCGCUGCAUUUACAUUCCCAUGUUUGGGUCCUGUUUGGGGACCCUUAGGCUUUUCCAGGGGGCAUCGUUCUUGAACGUUUCGACCCUUUUAUAGAAAGAUAUGUGUAGGAACCAUCGAUACUCAAUUUCACCUUCAAACCAUCUCAAAAAACUUCACUACAAAACACAAUUAGACACUAGUUUAACUUCAACUAGUUUCCGACCGCCUUGAAUGUUUGACCUCUAAAUUCUUCCAAACUUUACGUACUAUCUAUAAAACCUAUUAUUAUUAAUUUUAGGACAGUAAAAAUCAUUACACACAUGUUAGGCUCUAGUUUCAACUAGAUCAUUUUUAGAGGAGUUACACAUGGAAUCCGGUGUAAACCACUCAGACUGAAAAGAGGGCACCAUACUUGCAAAGGUAAGACAUUAACAUAAUCAUAGAGUCUAGGUUGACCAAAUUGAUAUGUUCCUUUGGGGUCACAUUUUUAAAGAACUAAGAUGUUUCUACUAUAAAUCGUUUUAAUGUUAAUUAACAUUGGAGUAUCAACCUCAUCAGAACAAUGUCAUUUUUAAACAUUAUAGUAUAAGAUAGACUUAGGAGACUAGCUCGUUAUAUAACAUAUAUAUAGGUCAUAGGAUAAUGACAAGAAUCUACUUUCAUCAAAACAUACUUCAUGUGAGAAUAUCUUUUAACAGAAUCUUAACAAAUUCUAGUAUAGACUGCAAUUAAGGAAACCAUCCAUUAGACUCCUAUUACUAGAUUAUCAUUAACAUGCUUAAUUCAUACAUUCAUGUGUGUAUGUGUACAUAUAUGUGGAAACCUUUUACAUAAACACAUUGAGACACCGCUUGAUCAUACUUCACUAGUCAUAUACUUUACAUCAUCAUAAUAUUAAUAAUAUACACAGUCCCUCAUAAUCAUACACUUAUUAUCAUCUCCUGUACAUAAUUUCCAUAGCCAAAUCAUGAAUUUAGACUUAAAUAUAUACAUAAAGCACCCUAGGAAUUAUUCCCUCAAGGUUCACGUAGGUAAGGUACAAUUCCCUUAGCUACACUAGUGCACCUCUCAAAUAAUCCUAGUUAACAUGCAUCUUAUUCCUUUCAUCUAUUCAAUUGACAUCAUGAUCAUAUUACAAUUUUAUUUAUGCAUGAGAUGUGUGUGCAUACAUAUUGGUCAUUAUGAUCACCUAAUAACACCAACAUUAAUAUGGAGUAAACAAUGCUUAAAAGGAUCACAACACAUACAAAAUCCCUUAAGUCAUGAAAAACUCACAUAUACAUCAUUUAGGGAUGAUAGACCUACACUCUAUGUUACAUCAUAGGAAACCAGAACAUAUUCAACAUUUGAAUAGAUGACUCAUAACAUGAAUAAGGUCAUACAUUCAUAUUGGGUUCCAUAGGUAGAGGGUCACUUUACAAGAGUAUUCCUCAAUCUUAAUUAUGUAGGACAUGCCUAACCCUAACAACAUCAUUCACACGUACUUAACUUUAUCAAUACACCCAAAUCAUCAUACUAGAAUUGAAGACUACAUAAGACCUUCACACGUGUGAUCAUCAUCACUACAAUCCACAUUAAAUCUAUUGACUUCAAGUCCAUGAUCACAACAUUCAUAAAUAGAAAAUAAUGUAAACAUCGUCAUCAUAAGUUCACCGUAGAAUAUAACAAUAAUUACAAGACUAUAUUAAAAAUUUAGGUCAACUGAAAAAUUCUCAAAGAUAUGAUAACCAUAAAACGAUUAUCAAAAUUCCUAAUCAAUUGAUAUGCAUAGAAAUACAAUUAAACAAUACAGUAUUAUCUAAUAACUACUAAAUCAUCAUCUAAUUAACAUCACAACAGCCACAUUAUAUCAUAAAUUGAUAAACUAAAGAGAUCAUAGGUUAUUCAAGAAAUUUCAUUGAAAAUCAUCAUAUAAUAGUAAUUAAACAUUUAUUAAUCAUUAGAGUGACUUAGAAAAUCGUUUGACGAUGAACCCAUAGCUAGACAGAAAUAUAGGAAUUUUCACCUUAGAAACACAUUAGAAAACCUGUGAUUGAGCUCCUUAGAAGCAAUGUAACUAAGUAUCAAGGGUUAACAUAACUUCAUAGAAGAAAAGCCCAGAAAAUUAGGAGAUGAAAUCCAUUGAAAAUUUAUCUUCAAGAUUGAGCUUGAGUUCGGCCUCCAAUGGAGGUUUGAGAUAAUAUUGGAAGAGAAAAUAGUUCUGGAUUUUUGAUUUCUUAUUGGGUAUUGGCAUUUUUCCUUGAAAAUGGAAAAAUAUGACAUAAAAAUCGUGUAUUUCUAAAUUGCAAAAUCUGAAAACAUCCCCAUAAUUAUAUGGACAUUUUGACAUGUCAAACUUGACUUUAAAACGACAUAACUGAAUCUGGGACAUGGCUGCUCGUUUUGGAGGAAACUCUAAAUUUUACUUCACGAAUUAUUUGAGGCAAUGAACCUUGUAACUCAAUCGCGACUCUGAGGAACGUUGAGUGAUAGGCGCGUGAUGCGGAGUGGACUCCAGAUCUAAAUUAUGCACGGUGCCUUGGAAACAUCUUGGCAACGCUUUGGGUCAUCUUCUAGGACCCUUAAGGUGGUCCUCAAGGAAUCAUACCCAAAUAUGUUUUACCUUAACAUGUUUAUUAUGACACUAGGGUAACCUUUAAUUUUUUGAGACUCCAAAU
rnacentral:lncRNA from 1 species